rnacentral:rRNA from 1 species
GUGGGGAAUCUUCCGCAAUGGACGAAAGUCUGACGGAGCAACGCCGCGUGAGUGAAGAAGGUUUUCGGAUCGUAAAGCUCUUUCGUUAGGGACGAACGUGCUCUUUGUGAAUAAUGGGGAGUAAUGACGGUACCUAAAUAAGAAGCCACGGCUAACUACGUGCCAGCAGCCGCGGUAAUACGUAGGUGGCAAGCGUUGUCCGGAAUUAUUGGGCGUAAAGCGCGCGCAGGCGGGAUAUCAAGUCUGUCUUAAAAGUGCGAGGCUCAACCUCGUGAGGGGACAGAAACUGGUAUUCUUGAGUGUCGGAGAGGAAAGUGGAAUUCCAAGUGUAGCGGUGAAAUGCGUAGAGAUUUGGAAGAACACCAGUGGCGAAGGCGACUUUCUGGACGAUGUCUGACGCUGAGGCGCGAAAGCUAGGGGAGCGAACGGGAUUAGAUACCCGUGUAGUCC